rnacentral:sRNA from 1 species
UCGAAGGUGAUAAUAAAGUCACACUC